UUUUUAAUUGACAUAGACCAAAUCAUCUAGUAAAAUG
rnacentral:tRNA from 1 species